CCCUACGGGGUGCAGCAGGCUGAGUUGACCCUGAAGUCAUGGGACAGGCUGCUCACAGACCCGAAGAUGUCAAAAGCGCUGCAAUUGCUGAUCUACGGAUGGCUUUACUUUAAGAAUAAAGAUGAAGGACAGUCUGGACUGCAAGCCGGGAACAUCUCGCUGCGAAAGAUCAGUAACGGUUUCAUGAAUGUCAGGCUGCCCGAUGCGAUGAGUAUCGGUGAGGAGUCAAUGGCGGUAUUUGAAGGCUAUUUAAUCGGGUUGCUUGCAGAAAUCCUUGACCCUGAAAUUGUUUUCAACCU
rnacentral:rRNA from 1 species